rnacentral:rRNA from 1 species
CCUACGGGUGGCAGCAGUGAGGAAUAUUGGUCAAUGGUCGGGAGCCUGAACCAGCCAAGCCGCGUGAGGGAUGAAGGUACAGCGGGUCGUAAACCUCUUUUGUCAGGGAACAAAGUCGGGUACGUGUCCCCGUAUGAGUGUACCUGAUGAAAAAGCAUCGGCUAACUCCGUGCCAGCAGCCGCGGUAAUACGGAGGAUGCGAGCGUUAUCCGGAUUUAUGGGGUUUAAAGGGGGCGCAGGCGGUCUGUUAAGUCAGCGGUCAAAGCCCGGGGCUCAACCCCGGCCCGCCGUUGAAACUGGCAGGCGUGAGUUGAAGAGAAGUAGGCGGAAUGCGCGGUGUAGCGGUGAAAUGCAUAGAUAUCGCGCAGAACUCCGAUUGCGAAGGCAGCAUGCCGGAUCCACACUGACGCUGAGGCACGAAAGCGUGGGUAUCGAACAGGAUUAGAUACCCGUGUAGUC